UUCUAUUAGGGUUUAUAAAUCACCUUCUAAGAACCUCAAUUGCUGUUCACUUCAUUCACACUUCACACGAUCUCAGGAUGGAGUUUGUGUUGGCAGCUGGAGGCAAGCAGAGAAAAGGCAUAUUGAUGAGAUGGUGCAUCACAGUCUGGCACUUGCCCUGGCUUGAGACAUCCGCAGAGGAUCAUUGCCCCAAGGAGGAGUGGCAGCCACCCUGGAAAGGAUUGAAGAUACAUAUUGACACAAAACUUUGGUCCAAGGGAGGUGGCCUAGGAAAGUGAAGGAAAAGAUAAAAAUCCUAUCUGAAGAAAAAUGGUUGGAAGGACUGGAGAUAUUUAAUUUGUAAAAGAAAAGACUUUGGGGAGACAUUGCUUUUUCCAAACAUCUGAAGCAUAAAAAGAUAAAUUGGAUCAACUGGAUGGCUUCUGGUGUUAGAAUAAAGAGUAAUGCCUGGGAUUACAGGGAGGCAG